UACGUAGGGUGCAAGCGUUGUCCGGAAUUACUGGGCGUAAAGGGCUCGUAGGCGGCAAACUAAGUCAGACGUGAAAUCCCUCGGCUUAACCGGGGAACUGCGUCUGAUACUGGAUGGCUUGAGGUUGGGAGAGGGAUGCGGAAUUCCAGGUGUAGCGGUGAAAUGCGUAGAUAUCUGGAGGAACACCGGUGGCGAAGGCGGCAUCCUGGACCAAUUCUGACGCUGAGGAGCGAAAGCCAGGGGAGCAAACGGG
rnacentral:rRNA from 1 species